rnacentral:rRNA from 1 species
UACAGAGGUCUCAAGCGUUGUUCGGAUUCAUUGGGCGUAAAGGGUGCGUAGGCGGCGCGGUAAGUCGGGUGUGAAAUCUCGGAGCUUAACUCCGAAACUGCAUUCGAUACUGCCGUGCUUGAGGACUGGAGAGGAGACUGGAAUUUACGGUGUAGCGGUGAAAUGCGUAGAUAUCGUAAGGAAGACCAGUGGCGAAGGCGGGUCUCUGGACAGUUCCUGACGCUGAGGCACGAAGGU